rnacentral:rRNA from 1 species
UACAGAGGUCUCAACCGUUGUUCGGAUUCAUUGGGCGUAAAGGGUGCGUAGGCGGUCGUGCAAGUCGGAUGUGAAAUCUCAGGGCUCAACCCUGAAACUGCAUCGAUACUGCGCGGCUAGAGUGCUGGAGGGGAGACUGGAAUUUACGGUGUAGCAGUGAAAUGCGUAGAUAUCGGGAGGAACACCAGUGGCGAAGGCGGCGAUCUGGGUCGAUACUGACGCUGAGGUGCGAAAGCGUGGGGAGCAAACAGG